rnacentral:rRNA from 1 species
CCUACGGGAGGCAGCAGUGGGGAAUAUUGGGCAAUGGGCGCAAGCCUGACCCAGCAACGCCGCGUGAAGGAAGAAGGCUUUCGGGUUGUAAACUUCUUUUCUCAGGGACGAAGAAAGUGACGGUACCUGAGGAAUAAGCCACGGCUAACUACGUGCCAGCAGCCGCGGUAAUACGUAGGUGGCAAGCGUUAUCCGGAUUUAUUGGGUGUAAAGGGCGUGUAGGCGGGAGCGCAAGUCAGAUGUGAAAACUCAGGGCUCAACCCUGAGCCUGCAUUUGAAACUGUGUUUCUUGAGUGCUGGGGAGGCAAUCGGAAUUCCGUGGGUAGCGGUGAAAUGCGUAGAUAUACGGAGGAACACCAGUGGCGAAGGCGGAUUGCUGGACAGUAACUGACGCUGAGGCGCGAAAGCGUGGGGAGCAAACAGGAUUAGAUACCCGAGUAGUC